AGCUCUGUGGCACAAUGGAUAGUGCAUUGGAUUUCUAAUUCAAAGGUGGUGGGUUCAAAUCCCACCAGAGUCA